GAGAAAGUUAAAAGAACUGCUAACUCUUUAAUCCAUGCCUAAAACCAUGGCUUUCCCA
rnacentral:tRNA from 1 species